rnacentral:rRNA from 1 species
AGAGAGUGCAAGCGUUAAUCGGAAUAACUGGGCGUAAAGCGCGCGUAGGUGGAUAUUUUAGUCGGAUGUGAAAGCCCCGGGCUUAACCCGGGAAUUGCAUUCGAUACUGGAUAUCUAGAGUAUGGUAGAGGGAAGUGGAAUUUCCGGUGUAGCGGUGAAAUGCGUAGAUAUCGGAAGGAACACCAGUGGCGAAGGCGACUUCCUGGACUAAUACUGACACUGAGGUGCGAAAGCGUGGGGAGCAAACAGGGAUUAGAGACCCUGGUAGUCCACGCCGUCAACGAUGAGAACUAGACGUUGGAGAGGUAACUCUUUAGUGUCGAAGCUAACGCGUUAAGUUCUCCGCCUGGGGAGUACGGCCGCAAGGUUA